rnacentral:rRNA from 1 species
UACAGAGGGUGCAAACGUUGCUCGGAAUUACUGGGCGUAAAGCGCGUGUAGGCUGACAUGCAAGUCGGAUGUGAAAUCCCAGGGCUCAACCUUGGAACUGCAUUCGAAACUGCACGUCUUGAGUACUGGAGAGGGAAGCGGAAUUCCGGGUGUAGAGGUGAAAUUCGUAGAUAUCCGGAGGAACACCAGUGGCGAAGGCGGCUUCCUGGACAGUAACUGACGCUGAGACGCGAAAGCGUGGGGAGCAAAC